rnacentral:tRNA from 1 species
GCUCUAGUGGUGUAAUUUGGCAGGCACGCAAGAUUUAGAAUCUUGUGUCGAGAGACGUGUAGGUUCGAGUCCUACCUAGAGCA